UGGCGGACGGGUGAGUAAUGUCUGGGUAACUGCCUGAUGGAGGGGGAUAACUACUGGAAACGGUAGCUAAUACCGCAUAACGUCGCAAGACCAAAGAGGGGGACCUUCGGGCCUCUUGCCAUCGGAUGUGCCCAGAUGGGAUUAGCUAGUAGGUGGGGUAAAGGCUCACCUAGGCGACGAUCCCUAGCUGGUCUGAGAGGAUGACCAGCCACACUGGAACUGAGACACGGUCCAGACUCCUACGGGAGGCAGCAUG
rnacentral:rRNA from 1 species